rnacentral:lncRNA from 1 species
CAUUUCUGCAUUAUGUUGAUUGAUAUUAACCAUCUUCAUAGGAAAUUAUUUCCAAUUCGUGACAUCCAAAAGACGAUUGACUCAGAUUUAUCUCCUUGUAGUGCAAGCUGAAAAUGGAGACCUGCAAGGUUAUCCCUAUCCGUCACCGCCAGCAGCAGCAGAAGUUCCAGUCUCAAUAGAGUCUGUGUCUAAAGAGCACAACAACAAAGGUCAUGGUGGAGCAGUAACAAUGCCCACAGAGAAUAGCCACCUCCAGACUGUGGCUGUAAGUGCAUCCACAGGGACAGAUUUGUUCCAUACGCCACAUGAAAGGCACAAUUUCACGAAUGCCACAACUGCUGAAGAUGCAAUUGCUGCUUCAUCAACUGGAGGCUUUGUUUGGAAAGAGGGCUCCGAUUUACCUAUGCCGGCUGAGGCCACUGAAGCAAAUCUCACAUUGAUCUCUAAUUAUGAAGCUGGAUUUGAAUCGAUGAAGAAUGGCACCGUGAUGCCUGUGGCUCAUUUGUCCAAAGGCGUGGAGGAAGAGAAAGAGAAAGCCUCAGAAUUGCCGCUUCACUCUCUACUUGUUAACAGGAAUCAAAGAAUCGCUGAGUCUAUCACUCUUAUGUCCACACGACGGAGGCUGGGAGUACCUAUGGUGACUGCCACUCGUCCUCACAUAAUUGAUAACUGGGCCAAGUCAAAUGACAAUGAGGAAAAACGAGGCCAAGACGCAGAUGAAAAUGGGAUUUUGGAAUUGAGUGAGUCAGAAUCCAUCUUGCAUGACAGAAAGGAAGUUUCUUUGACUACGGAGCGCGUGAUGACAAACAUGUGUUUGAAUUGCCUGCAAGAAAAAAGGCCAUCGUCAACAGAAGAAAUGGCUGUUCUGUCUGCGUUGUUCGACCGAGGCAGCUCACUCAGUCUUGGAGGAAAUGGAAAUAUGCUUACUGUAAACUCCAGUCACCACAAGGCCUCAAUGCCGAGCUCAUUUGAAGCGACAACAAAGAAACAAGAGGACAGAACAGUAUUAUUUGAUGGUGCCAAAACAUCCAAAAAGAGCACAUUUGAUUUCUCUGUAAAUCUUUUGGAUGGGCUAGAUUAUGAGUUCAUACCACCCCUUUCCUCAUUAAACUCUGAAAUGAAUCUCAGUAAAACCAUGUUGAAUGAUUCAUUUGCUAGUACAUCUUUCUCAAACUCGGGAACGAUUGAAGUCAAGGCAAACACAACCAGAACAGUGUUUCUUACUUCAAAGGUGGAAAAUAUGACAGUUUCCAGAUUGAGUGAUAUUAGCAAAUCUUUUGAUAAAAGGUUGUUAUCAACAACCAGCAUGCCUUAUCCUUUAACUUCAGAGAUCUUUCACACUUUAUUAUUAUCAUUGAGAGAUAAAGAAGAAAAUAUAUCUGGGAAGACUGUGAAUCUCAGAAACCAGUCAAAAUUGGUUUCACAAAUCCAAGAUAAUUCAUCUGUAAAACUACAAAACAUAUCCUCCGGUUUACUUCAUAGUUUUCUUGGCAAUCACACAUUGGCGGGUGUUGACAUUACAAAUAAGGACACAGAGUUUAGUUUAGAAGAUGGGGGAGGGGGAGAGCGGGAGCAUGCUGUUGGGCAAGUUAUGACAAUUCCUCUCACCAAUGCUCCAUCUCCUUCUGUCCAUGUUAUCUCUGACCAGAACAUUGAAAACAGUGGGGUUAAUGACCCCAUCAGUGGGGCUAAUGACCCCAACAAUGGAUCAAUGAUAAGUGGUAUGCUAGACUCGUUUAAUUCUCUCUUUAGCCAAGCUCGUGAAAUAAUCACAUCAAAAAGCCACACCACUGACCACAUUGACAAAUCAGCCUUGCCUAUGAGAAUGCCAUCAAUCGAAAGCCAAAGUGCAACAACAUCCUUCCGCUCUACGAGGCAGACCACGGCAGCUGUCAAAGUUCCUCCUGCCUCUCAGGCUCUGACAGGGAGUGCGAAAUCUUUGAUGUCUGUGUUGAGUACCACUGGCCACCUGCCAGCACAGCCCAGUGUUCUGUUCAAAGAGCAGCAGCCUAUGAGCCUCCUGCCAGACGUCCCUAACAUGCAACGUGCAUCUGUAACUAUGAUGAGAACAUUGUCCAAAAAGCCGUUUGCCGACAAUGCAAACGGUAUCGAUAAACGGACUGCGCCUCCAGUUGUUUUGUCACAGACAGUGAAGCCAAGUGCUAAAGUAAAUGCUCAGUUGCCCAGAACAACAGAGAAAGGACUUACGUUUUCCGCAAAGCGUAUUUCUGAAACCACAAGUAAGUUAGACAUUUAUGUGUCCGCCAUGAUGACGACAAGAACACACGUCGAUGUGAAAAGGUCAACCGAGCAAAGACUUGCCGUAGGUCGCGGUGACAUAAAGUCGAGUGGUGACACCUUUCGAAUCUCUGCCGACAGUGCUGGGAACCUUGAACCACCUAAAGAAUUGAAAAAUGUGAACAUACUAAAGCUGAAAAACAACAGAGGACAGGAGUCUGACUUCUCUCAGCCUCAAGGUUCUCUUGAGGAGGUGACAGAAAUGACAAUGGACAAGAGCAGUACUGUUCACCAUGGGAUAAUGAAAACCACAGAAAGGCUGGCUCGAGAGGAAAAACGCACCUCUCCAAACAUGUCUCCCUCCCAUCUUUUAAUGAAACUGUUGGGAGCAACGGCAAGAGACAUUCAUCGGGCUGAAAAUCUAUCUGAAUCGCUGGAAGAAGAAAAUAAGUCAUUCUCUAGCCAAGCGCCAAGUCAUAAAAUGCCAGUGCAGACUGUGAUAACCCCAAGCCAGACACUAUCACGAAUGGUAUCUUUUAAUAAGAAACCACAUAUUGUGUCUAAACCACAGCAAUUCUCUACCCAUAGGGUCACGCUUACAAAAUAUGCCGAUGCGUCAACAAAACAUAAGCAAAGCAAUCAGCAAAGGCACUCAACAAAAGGUAAAAAACAAGUGUUUUUGACGACUUCCUCGCGGAGCACAGGCCCUCCAAAUCAAAUCAGAAAUGUGAAUGUAACAUUUGACGUCUCUCCAGAGAGUGUGAAGUCAACAUUUUCUACACCUGACAGUGUUGGAAAUCUGUUUUCACUUACCGCUGCAAAAUCAUUAACCCCAGUUGGGCAGUCAACUAUUCAGCCUAAUAUUGCAGUAAAGACAUCUACUUCCCACACAUCAGUAAUUCAACAUGUUUCAGCUCAAAAGUAUCACAUAAGCAUUUCGACAUCAACAACAUCAGGAAACUCAGUCUCUCAGUCCAUAACUGUUGGAAAACAUCUACAGCGUGUAGGACCGGCGACACCUCUCUUUGACAUUGUUAAAGAGGAUGUCAUGACCACUGACAUCACUGACGCAUUAAAGGGGAGCCACCUUGUUCCCCUCUUACCGCCUCGUCCGUAUAAUGACACAUCGACUAGUCCACCCACCGACAAUUACUCGCCCACAGGGCCACUUACCGCCAGCCUGGCUUUGCAUCAUCGCCAAGGGCAAUCUUCUUCUGAGAUAAUGCCUUUCGGCGCUCCAUCUCAAAGCCAAUGGGACUCGUUUACAGAUUCGGAGGAGAAAGAGGAACGGCAUUCAAAUGCCUCACAUGCUUCUGCCGAUAACGAGCAAAUAAGCCCUUCAGAGGCUCCAAUAGUGCAUGAAGUGAAAAGUGAGCAUUCUGGGUUUAGCACAUGGACGGCGCCGUUCGCUACCGAUAGUUCUGCCACCAGCCACAUUAACUUAACUCAAUCACGACCUGAUGAGACCAUGGGAUUGAGGGCCAAGGAACCCGCCCUGCCACGUGCACUACUGCACCAGACCACUAAUGGGGUUGGGAAUGACCAUGCUUUGUCUGGAGUAAGUCCAGCGCAUGAGUCUGGUAGAAAGCUCCUGGGGUCUGGGAGUGGGUCAGAUCCAUUGGCCUUGCACCAGAGAAUUGGGUUAUCAUCCCCUGAUCUCCUCACUGGAUUAGCGAUAAUUUCCGAUGAUAUUUGUGCCACUGGAAACUACACGGCCGAGAUGAACUUGAACCUGGAGCGCGACGUUCUGCCCGGAGACUUGGUCCCGGCUCUGGGGAUUCUCCACGUGGUCAUCAACCUGAAAACCAACAACAGCCAGGUGAACCUAGAGAUAAAGUCCUGCUGUCUCUCGCCCACUGUUCAGCUUGAUGACAUCAACAUAACCUGUUAUGUGUUUUCCAGGUUACCGCUGAACCCGCGAGGAAUCAGGCUGUUACCCAGCAUCCUGUCAAAGCGCGCCAGCUUCACCAUCAGUCUCUUCCAGAUGAUUAAUUACUCCAUGGCAUACCUACACUGUGAUCUGAGCAUCUGCCUCAGGAACCAUACCGAGUGUGAGAGGCAGUGUCUUCAGCACAGAGACCUCUUCUCUGAAGAGGGUCCAGAGGCUAUCACCAAUCUGAGGAACCGCAUAUCCUUUGGUCCCAUGUUGAAAGGAGCAGAGAAUUCUUCUCUCCCGGGGGAGAUGGAUACAGCAGCUGAGAUGGAGAUUAUGCUUGUCAUCCUGGGGAUGGUGGUGGGGUGUUCGCUGAUGACGGGGACCCUGCUGCUUCUCUGGAUGGCCUAUAGACGGCGGAGGGCCGAUUGGAUGGUUUACUCAGAGUCCAGAGCGUGCUGCGGCUGCCUGCGUAGAGGAGACAUGAUCUUACCAUAGCCAAGUAGGAGACAAUGGUCAAUCACGUCAGCCUGCAGACCAGACCAGACCCUGACCAGAAUCAAUCCAAUUCACUCCUAUCAUACGUGACACCCGGGCCGAGCUUCUGUGGUCCCAUAUCUCACUCCCUUCACCGUCGCAGUGAAUGCCUUACCUUUACACUGUAGUAAUAUGACACAUAAACACAUGUACAGAACAGAUUACCUGAUGGUCGAUUAUCUUGGUCAAUUUUUUUGCAUGGUAACAAUUGCUAAUUCACCAAACAACUGUGCACAGUGAAGAUGAAUUGACGAUCAAGAGUGUUUUAUGAUCAUGUGACUUUUAACACGAUGUGUGUAUUGUGUAUACACCAUAUUAUUAUUUCUAGUCUCUUGUACUAAGUCCUCUAACCCUGCCACUAUCUGGAAGUGUUUGUUCAAAAAAAGUUUAUUAUCCUCUCAAUGAUUCUCAAUCAUCAUCUCAAGCAUGACGCAUAUUAUCAUACCAAUUCUGGCCAAUUGCUUUUAAAAACAAUACAGAUCACGGGCUACUUUCACUAAGACACCAAUGACACCGACAACUUAUUAACAUCCCUGUCUGCACUACUUCAUCAUGCACCAUCUUACCUCAAAUGCUACAACAGUUUGUUCCUGAUUUGCCACAACCUCAAAUGAUUAAACAACUUCCACAAUGCUCAG